rnacentral:pre_miRNA from 1 species
AGUGCAGUUGCUGGGUUGUAUGGCCAUUGCAUUUUUAAUUUUUUAAGAUAUGACCAAAUUGUUUUCUAGAACAGUUGUACCAUUUUACAUUUCCACUAGCAAU